GGUGGCUCAGUGGUAGAGCGCUUGUCUUGCAUGCAUGAGGACCUGGGUUCGAUUCCUCAGCACCA
rfam:Dipodomys ordii contig_12916, whole genome shotgun sequence.